CAAGUAAGACAGGUAAUCGCAGCUGCAGGAGCCGAAAGGCAGCAGGUGAGGAAAGUCCGGGCUUCACAGGGCAGGAUGCCGGAUAACGUCCGGUGGAGGCGACUCCAAGGAUAGUGCAACAGAAAUGAACCGCCGUGCGGGACCCGCACGGUAAGGGUGGAAGGGCAGUGUAAGAGACUACCGCCCUGCUGGUAACAGCAGGGGCAUAUGUAAACCCCAUCCGAAGCAAGACCGGAAAAAGACGAUGUGGCGGCCCGUCACGUCUUAGGUAGGUCGCUUGAGCCCAUCGGCGACGGUGGGCCUAGAUAGAUGAUUACCCAACGACAUAACCCGGCUUAUCGUUUUGCUUGCCAG
rnacentral:RNase_P_RNA from 1 species